rnacentral:rRNA from 1 species
AUUGAACGCUGGCGGCAGGCCUAACACAUGCAAGUCGAGCGGAGCGGCGGACGGGCGAGUGAUUCCUAGGAAUCUGCCUGGUAGUGGGGGAUAACGUACGGAAAGGGGCGCUAAUACCGCAUACUCUCAGAUGAGCCUAGGUCGGAUUAGCUAGUUGGUGGGGUAAAGGCCCACCAAGGCGACGAUCCGUAACUGGUCUGAGAGGCUGAUCAGUCACACUGGAACUGAGACACGGUCCAGACUCCUACGGGAGGCAGCAGGGGGGAAUAUUGGACAAUGGGCGAAAGCCUGAUCCAGCCAUGCCGCGUGUGUGAAGAAGGUCUUAGGAUUGUAAAGCACUUUAAGUUGGGAGGCGUUACCAACAGAAGAAGCACCGGCUAACUCCGUGCCAGCCGCCGCGGUAAUAC